GAUGAACGCUAGCGGCAGGCUUAACACAUGCAAGUCGAGGGGUAACAUUGUAGCUUGCUACAGAUGACGACCGGCGCACGGGUGCGUAACGCGUAUAGAACCUACCUUUUACUUAGGGAUAGCCCAGAGAAAUUUGGAUUAAUACCUUAUGGUAUUAUUGAAUGGCAUCAUUUAAUAAUUAAAGAUUUAUUGGUAAAAGAUGGCUAUGCGUUCUAUUAGUUAGUUGGUAAGGUAACGGCUUACCAAGACAUCGAUAGAUAGGGGUCCUGAGAGGGAGAUCCCCCACACUGGUACUGAGACACGGACCAG
rnacentral:rRNA from 1 species